rnacentral:rRNA from 1 species
UAGCGCAGGGGAGCUUGCUCCCCGGGUGACGAGUGGCGGACGGGUGAGUAAUGUCUGGGGAUCUGCCCGAUGGAGGGGGAUAACUACUGGAAACGGUAGCUAAUACCGCAUAACCUCGAAAGAGCAAAGUGGGGGACCUUCGGGCCUCACACCAUCGGAUGAACCCAGAUGGGAUUAGCUAGUAGGUGGGGUAACGGCUCACCUAGGCGACGAUCCCUAGCUGGUCUGAGAGGAUGACCAGCCACACUGGAACUGAGACACGGUCCAGACUCCUACGGGAGGCAGCAGUGGGGAAUAUUGCACAAUGGGCGCAAGCCUGAUGCAGCCAUGCCGCGUGUAUGAAGAAGGCCUUCGGGUUGUAAAGUACUUUCAGCGGGGAGGAAGGGAUGAAGGUUAAUAACCUUCGUCAUUGACGUUACCCGCAGAAGAAGCACCGGCUAACUCCGUGCCAGCAGCCGCGGUAAUACGGAGGGUGCAAGCGUUAAUCGGAAUUACUGGGCGUAAAGCGCACGCAGGCGGUUAGUUAAGUCAGAUGUGAAAUCCCCGGGCUCAACCUGGGAACUGCAUUUGAAACUGGCAAGCUUGAGUCUCGUAGAGGGGGGUAGAAUUCCAGGUGUAGCGGUGAAAUGCGUAGAGAUCUGGGGGAAUACCGGUGGCGAAGGCGGCCCCCUGGACGAAGACUGACGCUCAGGUGCGAAAGCGUGGGGAGCAAACAGGAUUAGAUACCCUGGUAGUCCACGCCGUAAACGAUGUCGACUUGGAGGUUGUGCCCUUGAGGCGUGGCUUCCGGAGCUAACGCGUUAAGUCGACCGCCUGGGGAGUACGGCCGCAAGGUUAAACUCAAAUGAAUUGACGGGGGCCCGCACAAGCGGUGGAGCAUGUGGUUUAAUUCGAUGCAACGCGAAGAACCUUACCUGGCCUUGACAUCCAC